rnacentral:rRNA from 1 species
AUCGAUAAUUCACGUUAAANUUCACUUUAAUCUAAAAUUUAUAUACCGCCAUCUAAAGAAUUAAUUUAAAAAUAUUUCUCCCAAAAAUAACUAAAAAGUUAGGUCAAGGUGUAAUUAAUAUUAAAGAAUCAAAUGAGUUACAAUAAAUACAAUUUAAAGAUUAUAAAAACACACAUUAUAUAAAUUAGAAUUUAAUAGUAAUAUUAAAAUAAUAAUAUAAUAUGAUUAAGAUAAUAAAUGUGCACACAUCGCCC